rnacentral:rRNA from 1 species
GAUAAACGCUGGCGGCGUGCAUAACACAUGCAAGUCGAGCGGGGAUUUAUAAUAGCUUGCUAUUAUAAAUUUUAGCGGCGGACGGGUGAGUAACACGUGGAUAACCUGCCCUGUACAUAGGGAUAACAUCAAGAAAUUGGUGCUAAUACCAAAUAAACUAAGAUAUAGGCAUCUAUAAUUUAGGAAAGCGUAUAAGUGGUAUAGGAGGGGUCCGCGUCUGAUUAGCUAGUUGGAGAGGUAAAGGCUCACCAAGGCGACGAUCAGUAGCCGACCUGAGAGGGUGAACGGCCACAUUGGAACUGAGAGACGGUCCAAACUCCUACGGGAGGCAGCAGUGGGGAAUAUUGCACAAUGGGGGGAACCCUGAUGCAGCAACGCCGUGUGAAGGAAGAAGUGUUUCGGCACGUAAACUUCUAUCGACAGGGAAGAAAGAGAUGACGGUACCUGAAUAAGAAGCACCGGCUAAAUACGUGCCAGCCGCCGCGGUAA